UAGCAGGGCAGCCGGAGCAUUGCGGUGGGCUGCGUGCCGCGCAGUGACUCGGGGCCGCGGCGGUACUGGGAUCCAUGCCCCCACAUAUGCAUCUGUUCAGUCACACACAGAAAAAUGCAUGCUCUGAUCAUGGAAGACCCAAUCAAUCAAUCCAGCAAUCAUCAAUGGGGAAUGUUUGUCUCACCCAGGCAAGCAGCUCAAGCAGCUGAAGAAAUCUCAAGCACCUCAAUUAGGUGAGCUGUUUAUCUUUCUUUUCUUUCCUUUUUUUCUUCUGAUGAAAAUGGAAAGGUGAUGGAAAGAUUGGACACACAGAGUGAUGUAUGAAAGGAAAAAAAAAGGCAGAUAGAUGCAGCCUUGGAACAUCUAGAAAGAGAAGGAAAAGAGAGAAAACAAUAGCAAUGCCAAUGCAAUGUCACAUUAUACAUCAACUGAAACCAACCAAUGAACAUGGAUAUGAACUGUUCAAGAUUCAA